rnacentral:rRNA from 1 species
AGAGUUUGAUCAUGGCUCAGGACGAACGCUGGCGGCGUGCUUAACACAUGCAAGUCGAGCGGAAAGGCCCUUCGGGGUACUCGAGCGGCGAACGGGUGAGUAACACGUGAGUAAUCUGCCCUUGGCUUUGGGAUAACUACCGGAAACGGUGGCUAAUACCGGAUACGACCGAUCCCUGCAUGGGGUGUUGGUGGAAAGUCUUUUCGGCCAGGGAUGUGCUCGCGGCCUAUCAGCUUGUUGGUGGGGUAAUGGCCUACCAAGGCUUCGACGGGUAGCCGGCCUGAGAGGGUGACCGGCCACACUGGGACUGAGACACGGCCCAGACUCCGUACGGGAGGCAGCAGGUGGGGAAUAUUGGACAAGUGGGCGGAAGCCUGAUCCAGCAACGCCCGCGUGGAGGGAUGACGGCCUUCGGGUUGUAAACCUCUUUCAGUACCGACGAAGCGCCGAUGAUGGUGGUGACGGUAGGUACAGAAGAAGCACCGGCCAACUACGUGCCAGCAGCGGC